rnacentral:rRNA from 1 species
ACGAAGGUUGCAAGCGUUGUUCGGAAUCACUGGGCUUAAAGCGUAUGUAGGCGGAUGAGUAAGCGUUUUGUGAAAUCCCUCGGCUUAACCGGGGAAUUGCUUGGCGAACUGCUCAUCUUGAGGCAAAUAGGGGUGCAUGGAACUCUUGGUGGAGCGGUGGAAUGCGUAGAUAUCAAGAGGAACGCCAGCGGCGAAAGCGGUGCACUGGAUUUGUCCUGACGCUCAGAUACGAAAGCGUGGGGAGCAAACGG